UACGUAGGGGGCAAGCGUUGUCCGGAUUUAUUGGGCGUAAAGAGCGUGUAGGCGGCCAUACAGGUCAGCUGUGAAAACUCGAGGCUCAACCUCGAGACGUCGGUUGAAACCGUAUGGCUAGAGUCCGGAAGAGGAGAGUGGAAUUCCCGGUGAUAGCGGUGAAAUGCGCAGAUAUCGGGAAGAACACCCGUGGCGAAGGCGGCUCUCUGGGACGGUACUGGACGCGUGAGACGCGAAAAGCGUGGGGAAGCGAACAGG
rnacentral:rRNA from 1 species